rnacentral:lncRNA from 1 species
UGAGAAGAAUUCAUUGAUUCACUCGUGGCCAGUAAGUCAUCUGACAAACCCUUGUGUACUUCUGAUGGGAUAGGAGUGUUUGUAGACAACAGGCACACAAAUAUAACAUGCAGCCCAGUGCAGCUCAGGAGCAGCCUUCCAUGGAUAAGCGGUUGGUACCUACAGUGUGCUCCUGUCCUUGCUAAUCUGAACACAUAGGUAGUAACCUUAAGCAUGUCUCAAUCUUCUGACUUGUGAUGAGGUUUCCAAUUCUUGUUCCUGACUUUAGAAUGAAGUUUGGAGAGUUGUCAUUAGGUCUCUAGGUUCUGAGGAUUACUGUGGGGUGGGCAGAGGGAGAGAAGAGUGUUGGGGCCAGAUGUUCCUGUGCUUCUACCAGAAAGUUGAUUUGCCCAGUGUACCACCCUCACUUGGCAGGCCUGAGCAGAGUGGCCUGCCACUGACAACCCAGAGAAAGAAGGUGGGCUGUGAUGAGAGUCAUGAUCAGUGAGUGGCUUCCAUGGCAGAAAGUUCUGUGUAGUUCUUGGGGGAUGUGAGUAUAAUUCUAACAUCUUUGUCAUCAGUGUUGACAUCUCUUGAUUGUAUCCUGUCAUUCCAUUUGAGAUCUUCCUGGUUCUGGCUGGCAUCCUCUGACAUCACUCCAGCAGAAGAAAGGGAAGGAACACGCUGCAUUACUG